rnacentral:rRNA from 1 species
UGGCGGCGUGCCUAAUACAUGCAAGUCGAACGGUCUUUCUAUGGAAGCUUGCUCCACUGAGAAGAUAGUGGCGAACGGGUGAGUAACACGUGGGUAACCUGCCCAUAAGAGGGGGGAUAACAUCCGGAAACGGGUGCUAAUACCGCAUAGUUUUCUUGAUCGCAUGAUCGGGAAAGGAAAGACGGCCUUUGUGCUGUCGCUUAUGGAUGGACCCGCGGCGUAUUAGUUAGUUGGUGAGGUAACGGCUCACCAAGACGAUGAUACGUAGCCGACCUGAGAGGGUGAUCGGCCACAUUGGGACUGAGACACGGCCCAAACUCCUACGGGAGGCAGCAGUAGGGAAUCUUCCGCAAUGGACGAAAGUCUGACGGAGCAACGCCGCGUGAGUGAAAGAAGGUUUUUCGGAUCGUAAAACUCUGUUGUCAGAGAAGAACAAGUUGGAGAGUAACUGCUCCAGCCUUGACGGUAUCUGACCAGAAAGCCACGGCUAACUACGUGCCAGCCGCCGC